UGAGGCUGCACCUUCAGCAGGGGGACAGGGAGAGCCACCAGUGGGAACAAUGAAGGUGGAGACUAAAAAACGUAGACACAUUUUUUCAAUAUUAAGGGGAAUUUGUCAGACGACAACUGUAACCCCUCAGCACACAGAGAGACCUUCAACUUCUGAGGGUCCUUCUACAAAGACAACCAAAAUACAAACAAA